AGAGUUUGAUCAUGGCUCAGAUUGAACGCUGGCGGCAGGCCUAACACAUGCAAGUCGAGCGGAGAUGAGGUGCUUGCAUCUUAUCUUAGCGGCGGACGGGUGAGUAAUGCUUAGGAAUCUGCCUAUUAGUGGGGGACAACAUUCCGAAAGGAAUGCUAAUACCGCAUACGUCCUACGGGAGAAAGCAGGGGAUCUUCGGACCUUGCGCUAAUAGAUGAGCCUAAGUCGGAUUAGCUAGUUGGUGGGGUAAAGGCCUACCAAGGCGACGAUCUGUAGCGGGUCUGAGGGGAUGAUCCGCCACACUGGGACUGAGACACGGCCCAGACUCCUACGGGAGGCAGCAGUGGGGAAUAUUGGACAAUGGGGGGAACCCUGAUCCAGCCAUGCCGCGUGUGUGAAGAAGGCCUUAUGGUUGUAAAGCACUUUAAGCGAGGAGGAAGGUUCGUCACCUAAUACGUGACGGAAUUGACGUUACUCGCAGAAUAAGCACCGGCUAACUACGUGCCAGCAGCCGCGGUAAUACGUAGGGUGCAAGCGUUAAUCGGAAUUACUGGGCGUAAAGCGUGCGCAGGCGGUUGUGUAAGACAGGUGUGAAAUCCCCGGGCUUAACCUGGGAACUGCAUUCAAAACUGCACGGCUAGAGUACGGGAGAGGGGGGUAGAAUUCCAGGUGUAGCGGUGAAAUGCGUAGAGAUCUGGAGGAAUACCGAUGGCGAAGGC
rnacentral:rRNA from 1 species